rnacentral:rRNA from 1 species
UACGAAGGGGGCGAGCGUUGUUCGGAUUUACUGGGCGUAAAGGGCGCGCAGGCGGUCUUGAAAGUCAGGCGUGAAAGCCCCGGGCUUAACCUGGGAAUUGCGCUUGAGUACUCUGAGACUGGAGUACGGGAGAGGAGAGUGGAAUUCCCAGUGUAGAGGUGAAAUUCGUAGAUAUUGGGAAGAACACCAGUGGCGAAGGCGGCUCUCUGGACCGUAACUGACGCUGAGGCGCGAAAGCGUGGGGAGCAACAGG